CCUACGGGAGGCUGCAGUGAGGAAUAUUGGUCAAUGGACGAGAGUCUGAACCAGCCAAGUAGCGUGAAGGAUGACUGCCCUAUGGGUUGUAAACUUCUUUUAUAAAGGAAUAAAACGAGGCACGUGUGCCGUUUUGCAUGUACUUUAUGAAUAAGGAUCGGCUAACUCCGUGCCAGCAGCCGCGGUAAUACGGAGGAUCCGAGCGUUAUCCGGAUUUAUUGGGUUUAAAGGGAGCGUAGAUGGGUUGUUAAGUCAGUUGUGAAAGUUUGCGACUCAACCGUAAAAUUGCAAUUGAUACUGGCAGUCUUGAGUACAGUUGAGGUAAGCGGAAUUCGUGGUGUAGCAGUGAAAUGCUUAGAUAUCACGAAGAACCCCGAUUGCGAAGGCAGCUUACUAAACUGUGACUGACAUUGAUGCUCGAAAGUGUGGGUAUCAAACAGGAUUAGAUACCCUGGUAGUC
rnacentral:rRNA from 1 species